GGGGAAUAUUGCANUUUUGGGCGCAAGCCUGAUGCACCAUGCCGCGUGUGUGAUGAAGGCCUUCGGGUUGUAAAGCCUUUCAGCGGGGAGGAAGGCGAUAAGGUUAAUAACCUUGUUGAUUGACGUUACCCGCAGAAGAAGCACCGGCUAACUCCGUGCCAGCAGCCGCGGUAAUACGGAGGGUGCAAGCGUUAAUCGGAAUUACUGGGCGUAAAGCGCACGCAGGCGGUCUGUCAAGUCGGAUGUGAAAUCCCCGGGCUCAACCUGGGAACUGCAUUCGAAACUGGCAGGCUAGAGUCUUGUAGAGGGGGGUAGAAUUCCAGGUGUAGCGGUGAAAUGCGUAGAGAUCUGGAGGAAUACCGGUGGCGAAGGCGGCCCCCUGGACAAAGACUGACGCUCAGGUGCGAAAGCGUGGGGAGCAAACAGGAUUAAAUACCCUGGUAGUCCACGCCGUAAACGAUGUCGAUUUGGAGGUUGUGCCCUUGAGGCGUGGCUUCCGGAGCUAACGCGUUAAAAUCGACCGCCUGGGGAGUACGGCCGCAAGGUUAA
rnacentral:rRNA from 1 species